GAGAGUAUAUUUUCUUCCUUAUUCAUACCCAUGCCCUAACCAUUGCAAUCAUGGAAGUCAUUUGACCAUGCAUGGUUAAGCAUCAACUAAUAAAUAAAUACUCUGUGCUGUUUUUUUUGAAAGGACUCCAGAGUGACUUAACUCUUCUAGUUGAGCUUAAUGAGUUUUCUGUUAUUAAGAUUCAUCGGAAGUGUUACUGGAAAGCAUUGAACCAGCUUCUGCAUUAUAGAAAACUCUUGCCUCAAUAUGUUUAAUAUUCUGAGCAUUUUAAAGUGCUUUUUAAAAAUGGACUUACUCUAGUAAUCUGUGAUGCAUCCUUCAGCAAGGAAUUGUAUAUUUAUUUCGCAGGUCCAAAAAGACGUAGAAUACCUCUUCAUCCAUCACAAAGAGCUUCUGUCCUUGCAUGUAGAUCUUUUAAAAAUAUAUGGAGUGCUAAAUUAGAGUGAAAGCACUCAAACCCAAGAUUAGUAGCACAGUUGGUGGUAACUUCAGAGGAAAACAUACCCUUGAAGCAUUCUUAAGUCAAAAGCAGAGAGUGAAUGAAAACAUUUUAAUGAAGACAUUUGCUUAUACAUUCUGGCAAAUGAAGAGAUUUUUCAAUCAGAAGACCUUAAAAUGUUACAUAUACAGGGAGAGAAAAUUAAAAAAUGGGGCAAUAAAAUGAAAGACUUAACAGGAUGAAAAUUUGUCUAAAUCAUUCCAGUACACAUAGUUUCUUUUGUAAAGAAAAUCUUCAAAUCCCUGAACUGCAGGUAACUGUUUAUUUUGCACUCAUGUUAGCAACGUAACUUCUGAUUUUUUUUUUUUGUUUUCCUAAACUUCUGUCAGAUGGUCUCUGCUGGUUCUCUGAACUGCAGACCUGAUACGGUCUUGUGGUACUUCUGAAAAAAGAGCUACUUGACAGUGUAGAACAGGCCUUUUCAGUGGUCAGCAAAGUGCAUUUGCUUCACUUUUAGAGACAAACUUAAGGAUAGAAUUUUGUGUGACACUUGUUUCAGAACAGAUUAAGGAAGAUUUAAUAACAGAAGCUGCAGAAAUAGAGAGUAGGAAUUUAUCUUCUGUUGCCUUCGAAGUCCUGUAUAAUUAUCCUCUUCAGUCCUGUGGAAGAUUGUUACCCACCCAAUGAAAGGCACCUUCUCUCAUGUAAUUUUUUGCGUAAUUAUGAUAAUCAUGGAUUUUAGCUUUUUUUUUAAAUUCAGUACUACAAAAAUGGUUUAUGUAAAAGAGAAUAUUAAAUUGUUCGUGUCUUACCAUCAUGUACAGUGACUUUCGAUGUUAAAAGUGAAGUAUAAAAACAAAUAUAUAUAUUUAUAUAUAAAAUAAAGUCGUUAUUAUUUUAGCUAAUGGCAGGUUGCUGAAUGAAAUUCUCUAAGCUUUUAUUCUUCAUGCGCAAACCAGAAAGGUUUUAAUAAUUUUCACUUUUAUUCAUGCUGAGGCAAAAAUUGAUUUUGGUAUGACUCAUACCAUGCAUUUGCCUUAAAUAUGAAAUUGAGAUUAGAAGAAGGUUGUAUUAAAUACUGUUUCACAACUGGGUAGAUUUGAGGAUUACUACCUUUCUGUGGGUUUCAGACAGAAAAUGAGAUUUCCCUUCUGUAAAUAAAGGGAAAUGUUUCAAUAAUAAUUCAGUAAUUGCUAUAUGCAUUUCUUAAAUGUAUAUAGCAAUUAUUGAAUUGAAAUGUCAUCUGGGUAGUUUCAUCCAAAGUUGACUACUUGAACUCUCCAAUAUAUUUCUCAAAAUGUAUCUAAAUUUUUACAUCCUCAAAAAAAGCACAAGCCAAAUGGUAACCUUGGUUUUAGGGCUGCAUUUGCACCUGUAUUAGUGCUGGUCAUAGGGUAAUAACUGUCACAUUGUCAAGUGUUCCUGGUUUAUUCUUCCAUUUGUCUGUACAACAAAGAAAUCGGUGCCCUCUUAUUUUCACAGGGGCAAGUGUUCAGCUGUGUAGAGCAAUCAGAAGCAGCUUGUAGAAGUCCUGAUUAGAUUUGCCAGGCAAACAGAGCUAUUUCCACUGCAAAAA